AAGGAUCAUUACAAGAAACGAGGCUACGUGCCCCGCUCUUUACCUUGCCUACUGCACUAUCUGUUGCUUCCUGGCGGCGGUUUGCCUGCCGCCAGGGACAUUGUAAAGCCCUGUAUAAGCAUUGAAAAACUGAAACAAACCGAAUCGUACAACUUUCAACAAUGGAUCUCUUGGUUCUGGCAUCGAUGAAGAACGCAGCGAAAUGCGAUAAGUAGUGUGAAUUGCAGAAUUCAGUGAAUCAUCGAAUCUUUGAACGCACAUUGCGCCCCUUGGUAUUCCAUGGGGCAUGCCUGUUCGAGCGUCAUCUAAACCCUCAAGCCGCAUGGGUGUUGUCCCGCCUCGUGCGUGGCCUUCGCCUGGCUUGGUGUUGGGUGCCUGUCCCUGCUCCCCGCGCGGACUCACCCUAAAUGUAUUGGCAGCAGCCCCUCGGCUUCUCGCGCAGCACAUUGCGCAGCGGAGCGUGGAGAGGCGUGCGUCCAGCAAGCGACCCCACCAGUUUGACCUCGGAUCAGGUAGGGAUACCCGCUGAACUUAA
rnacentral:misc_RNA from 1 species